rnacentral:lncRNA from 1 species
AUUACAUAGACGAUUCGACAACCGACAAUAUUAUUUGUUUUAUGAAGAUUGAAAAAUUGAAAUCUGGAUCUCAUAUAAUAUGCAAUCUGCAAGAAAUUGCAUAGUAUGGAAUUCGAAUCUCAAAUCUGGAUGUAGAAACUUUUAAACUUUAACCGCUAGGUUAAAGGUUAAGGUGUUUUCACAUUAACAAAAGUAUCAAAAAUUGAAUUAUAUUUAUAUGAUCUGAAUAUUAAAAGGUUUUAAAUUCCUUUUAUUAAACGAAACUGAAUUGUUAGAUCCGGUCA